GCCAGACUCCUACGGGAGGCAGCAGUGAGGAAUAUUGGCCAAUGGGCGGAAGCCUGAACCAGCCAAGUCGCGUGAGGGAAUAAGGCCCUACGGGUCGUAAACCUCUUUUGCCGGGGAGCAAGGGCCGGGACGCGUCCCGGCCCGGAGAGUACCCGGAGAAAAAGCAUCGGCUAACUCCGUGCCAGCAGCCGCGGUAAUACGGAGGAUGCGAGCGUUAUCCGGAUUUAUUGGGUUUAAAGGGUGCGUAGGCGGGCUUUUAAGUCAGCGGUAAAAAUUCGGGGCUCAACCCCGUCCGGCCGUUGAAACUGGGGGCCUUGAGUGGGCGAGAAGAAGGCGGAAUGCGUGGUGUAGCGGUGAAAUGCAUAGAUAUCACGCAGAACCCCGAUUGCGAAGGCAGCCUUCCGGCGCCCUACUGACGCUGAGGCACGAAAGUGCGGGGAUCGAACAGGAUUAGAUACCCUAA
rnacentral:rRNA from 1 species